AGAGUUUGAUCAUGGCUCAGAGCGAACGCUGGCGGCAGGCUUAACACAUGCAAGUCGAGCGGGCGUAGCAAUACGUCAGCGGCAGACGGGUGAGUAACGCGUGGGAACGUACCUUUUGGUUCGGAACAACACAGGGAAACUUGUGCUAAUACCGGAUAAGCCCUUACGGGGAAAGAUUUAUCGCCGAAAGAUCGGCCCGCGUCUGAUUAGCUAGUUGGUAGGGUAACGGCCUACCAAGGCGACGAUCAGUAGCUGGUCUGAGAGGAUGAUCAGCCACAUUGGGACUGAGACACGGCCCAAACUCCUACGGGAGGCAGCAGUGGGGAAUAUUGGACAAUGGGCGCAAGCCUGAUCCAGCCAUGCCGCGUGAGUGAUGAAGGCCCUAGGGUUGUAAAGCUCUUUUGUGCGGGAAGAUAAUGACGGUACCGCAAGAAUAAGCCCCGGCUAACUUCGUGCCAGCAGCCGCGGUAAUACGAAGGGGGCUAGCGUUGCUCGGAAUCACUGGGCGUAAAGGGUGCGUAGGCGGGUCUUUAAGUCAGGGGUGAAAUCCUGGAGCUCAACUCCAGAACUGCCUUUGAUACUGAAGAUCUUGAGUUCGGGAGAGGUGAGUGGGACUGCGAGUGUAGAGGUGAAAUUCGUAGAUAUUCGCAAGAACACCAGUGGCGAAGGCGGCUCACUGGCCCGAUACUGACGCUGAGGCACGAAAGCGUGGGGAGCAAACAGGAUUAGAUACCCCGGUAGUCC
rnacentral:rRNA from 1 species